UACGAAGGGGUAGCGUUGUCCGGAAUUAUUGGGCGUAAAGAGCUCGUAGGCGGUUUGUCGCGUCUGCCGUGAAAGUCCGGGGCUCAACUCCGGAUCUGCGGUGGGUACGGGCAGACUAGAGUGAUGUAGGGGGAGACUGGAAUUCCUGGUGUAGCGGUGAAAUGCGCAGAUAUCAGGAGGAACACCGAUGGCGAAGGCAGGUCUCUGGGCAUUAACUGACGCUGAGGAGCGAAAGCAUGGGGAGCGAACAGGA
rnacentral:rRNA from 1 species